AGUGAACGCUGGCGGCAGGCCUAACACAUGCAAGUCGAACGGCAGCACAAGAGAGCUUGCUCUCUGGGUGGCGAGUGGCGGACGGGUGAGGAAUGCAUCGGAAUCUGCCCAUUUGUGGGGGAUAACCUCGGGAAACCGGGACUAAUACCGCAUACGACCUACGGGUGAAAGCAGGGGAUCUUCGGACCUUGCGCAGAUGGAUGAGCCGAUGCCGGAUUAGCUAGGUUGGGGGGUAAAGGCCCACCAAGGCGACGAUCCGUAGCUGGUCUGAGAGGAUGAUCAGCCACACUGGGACUGAGACACGGCCCAGACUCCUACGGGAGGCAGCAGUCGGGAAUAUUGGACAAUGGGCGCAAGCCUGAUCCAGCCAUGCCGCGUGUGUGAAGAAGGCCUUCGGGUUGUAAAGCACUUUUGUUGGGAAAGAAAAGCAGCCGGUUAAUACCCGGUUGUCAUGACGGUACCCAAAGAAUAAGCACCGGCUAACUUCGUG
rnacentral:rRNA from 1 species